GAAAUUUUCAGAGAUGAGAAUGUGCCUUCGGGAACCGUGAGACAGGUGCUGCAUGGCUGUCGUCAGCUCGUGUUGUGAAAUGUUGGGUUAAGUCCCGCAACGAGCGCAACCCUUAUCCUUUGUUGCCAGCGAUUAGGUCGGGAACUCAAAGGAGACUGCCAGUGAUAAACUGGAGGAAGGUGGGGAUGACGUCAAGUCAUCAUGGCCCUUACGACCAGGGCUACACACGUGCUACAAUGGCGCAUACAAAGAGAAGCGACCUCGCGAGAGCAAGCGGACCUCAUAAAGUGCGUCGUAGUCCGGAUUGGAGUCUGCAACUCGACUCCAUGAAGUCGGAAUCGCUAGUAAUCGUGGAUCAGAAUGCCACGGUGAAUACGUUCCCGGGCCUUGUACACACCGCCCGUCACACCAUGGGAGUGGGUUGCAAAAGAAGUAGGUAGCUUAACCUUCGGGAGGGCGCUUACCACUUUGUGAUUCAUGACUGGGGUGAAGUCGUAACAAGGUAACCGUAGGGGAACCUGCGGUUGGAUCACCUCCUUACCUUAAAGAA
rnacentral:rRNA from 1 species